ACGACUCUCGGCAACGGAUAUCUCGGCUCUCGCAUCGAUGAAGAACGUAGCGAAAUGCGAUACUUGGUGUGAAUUGCAGAAUCCCGUGAACCAUCSAGUUUUUGAACGCAAGUUGCKCCCAAAGCCKUCAGGCUGAGGGCACGCCUGCCUGGGUGUCACGA
rnacentral:rRNA from 1 species